rnacentral:lncRNA from 1 species
CACAGGGACAUCAACAGAUACUGCAAGUUCCUCUGGAGGAAUUCAAGUGUGAUUAAUCACAACAGAUGUGGUCGAGCAAACAGGAAGUACAGAGCAGAGACUUGUCUGGGUGUGACGAUCCCGGACGAUCACCUGGCAGGAUGUGAUAUUUAUCCCGAAGCCCACUCCACUCUCAGGACUGUCCUCCGACCUGAUGGUGCGGGACUGGUCGACACUGAUUUCUUGCUUUACCUGCUCGUACAGGCCACCGACAAGUGCAAAGCCCAGGUAAACGCAAAGAUCUUUGGUCUUUAGACGGUUUGUGGUGUCAUAUUUCAUGACUUUCUCUUUGCCAGCAGGACUUGUUGGCCUACGCCGUCCACUGUCAGACAGACACUCAGGGAAGACCAGUGGCUGGCGUUGUGAUUGUCUGCAAGAACAGACUGACCGCAACCACCUACAGCCACCAGACUGCAGUACAGACUCUUACUCACGAGUUGUUUCAUGUGCUCGGUUUCUCCAAAGAUCUCUUUAACACCUGGAAAGACUGCUCCUCCUCCUCAUCGCAAGGUUUUGUUUGACACACACUCAUUGUAAAGCAGGAUCCACAUUAUGCUCAUGUUCAGCUUUAAUAUCAAUCAAAAAACAACCAACCAAACUAACCAUCAGUCAUCAACCAACCAACCAACCAACCAACCAAUCAACUAACCAACCACACUACCAAGCAACUAACCAGUCAGUAAACCAACCAACCAAAUGACUAGUUAACUACAGUAUUUAACCAACCAACCGACUGACGGACCAAGCAACUAAACUACCAAUCAAGUAACCAAACCACUAGUCAAACAACCAAUGAACUAACCACUCAACUAACCAACUAACCAACCAGGGCAACUGUACCUAAAAAGCCCAACCCGAGGAUUUUCCUGUGCCAGUAACUCUUACCAUUCUACCAACAUCUCAUCAACCAUGAAGUUCUGAUGACUGAUUGACUGACUUCCAAACCAAUUAUACCAAAUACUUAAAGCCAUCAGUCAGUCAUAAUGCUGUGAACCUGGUGGCUUCUGUUCCAGUUAAUAAACCUUUGAGCUGGUACGCUCA